GACGAACGCUGGCGGCGUGCCUAAUACAUGCAAGUCGAACGCAGUGGGGACGGGUGAGUAACACGUGGGUAACCUCCCAUCAGAGGGGAUAACACUUGGAAACAGGUGCUAAACCGAUACUGAUGGAUGGACCCGCGGUGCAUAAGCUAGUUGGUGAGGUAACGGCUCACCAAGGCCACGAUGCAUAGCCGGCCUGAGAGGGUGAUCGGCCACACUGGAAAAGAAACACGGCCAAGACGCCUACGGAAGGCAGAAGUAGGAAAUGUUGGGCAAUGGACGAAAGGCUGACCAGGCAACGCCGCGUGAGUGAAGAAGGUUUUCGGAUCGUAAAACUCUGUUGUUAGAGAAGCGGUAUCUAACCAGAAAGCCACGGCUAACUACGUGCCAGCCGCCGCGGUAAUAC
rnacentral:rRNA from 1 species